GAUGAAGAACGCAGCGAAAUGCGAUACGUAAUGUGAAUUGCAAAUUCAGUGAAUCAUCGAGUCUUUGAACGCACAUUGCGCCCCCUGGUAUUCCGGGGGGCAUGCCUGUCCGAGCGUCAUUGCUGCCCUCAAGCACGGCUUGUGUGUUGGGCCCCGUCCUCCGAUCCCGGGGGACGGGCCCGAAAGGCAGCGGCGGCACCGCGUCCGGUCCUCGAGCGUAUGGGGCUUUGUCACCCGCUCUGUAGGCCCGGCCGGCGCUUGCCGAUCAACCCAAAUUUUUUAUCCAGGUUGACCUCGGAUCAGGUAGGGAUACCCGCUGAACUCAAGCAUAUCAAUAAGCGGAGGA
rnacentral:misc_RNA from 1 species